AUUGAACGCUGGCGGCAUGCCUUACACAUGCAAGUCGAACGGUAACGCGGGGCAACCUGGCGACGAGUGGCGAACGGGUGAGUAAUAUAUCGGAACGUGCCCAAUAGUGGGGGAUAGCCCGGCGAAAGCCGGAUUAAUACCGCAUACGACCUGAGGGUGAAAGCGGGGGAUCGCAAGACCUCGCGCUAUUGGAGCGGCCGAUAUCAGAUUAGGUAGUUGGUGGGGUAAAAGCCUACCAAGCCUACGAUCUGUAGCUGGUCUGAGAGGACGACCAGCCACACUGGGACUGAGACACGGCCCAGACUCCUACGGGAGGCAGCAGUGGGGAAUUUUGGACAAUGGGCGCAAGCCUGAUCCAGCCAUGCCGCGUGCGGGAAGAAGGCC
rnacentral:rRNA from 1 species